CUGUUACACGCAAAAAAAUCCGUUCCGAUAUACGUGAACUCCCAAUCACGGCAACGAGAACAAACGGGAACUAUGCAUAGCAACGAUAACAACAAUAAGAAAUGUACACCGUGAACUAGAUGUCACGGUAUCGAGAACGCCCAUAUUGACAGCUGGAACUAGUUCCAGUUCACGGUGUAUAUUUGCUUGUUCUCAUAUUCGGGAUUGUUUGUUCACGUUUAUCAGAACGGUUUUCUGAGCGUGUACUAAGCAAGAGGACAGCACUUUAAGGCUUUACGGAGCGUUAUCAAAAUCAUCAAUCAUUGCUCUCAAACUUUGAACACGCAAAUCUCGAGUGCUACUGCAUGUAAUUGGCUGGAAAAUUGAUCGUUUGUAUGCUUACAUGUGAUGAACAAUCGACUAAGUUUUCAGUUAGGUCAGUCAACUGGAACUAGAAAUUUGCAUCGUCAAAGUUUCGAGGGUAUUGAUGAAGAAAGAGAAGAAAGAUAGCAAAGUUGACACGGUGUCCUAUAUCACUUUAAUCUGCGUCCUUUUCUUUUAAAAACCUUAAACAUCGAUCGUAUCUGAUUCUUCUUCUUCUUCUUCUUCUUUACAGCUCGACGUCCACACUGGAAUUUGGCCAGCCUUGCUUCAACUUAGUGUUCCUUGAGCACUUCCACAAUUUCCAAUUUAAAGGCGUUCUUUGCCUGCCAUUGCAUGAAUUUGUAUAUUGUGAGGAAAGUACAAUGAUACACUAUGCCCAGGGAGUCGAGAAAAUUUUCCUGACCGGAACGGGAAUUGAACCCACCGUCUCCGGAUUGGCGAUCCAUAGCAUUAAUCACUAGGCUAACUGGAGAUCCCUAUCUAAUUUUCCUUGUUUCCAUCAAAAAAUAUAAUGAGACGUUGAGGCUAUGGUAAAAAAAAAAAUCAAGGAUCGCGGACUUUGGAGACACUCCCAAUUCGCCUUAGAGAAUACGUAGUGUAUGGACGGGCCCUAAUUUAUUGAAUAAUCUAUAUAUACAGGGGAUAGACAAAAUGAUCGGGACAGGCAAAAUUUUCCCUUCUCAAAAAAAAUUCAAAUGGCUGUAACUUUUCGAAAAGUACAUCAAAUAUUCUCAAAUUUUGACUGUAAGUAGAUCAACUAUUUGUGUAUCAGUGGACAGAAUUUGGAAAGAUCGAACCUUUCUGCACGAAGUUAUAAAGAUUCUAAAAAAAGGUAUAAUUAUCCGAUAGCCAACUUUGAGCUGUUACAUCUCCGGAUUCAAUGAACCGAAUGCAUUGAAAUUUAGACCAUUUAUGACUUAUAUAAUGAGCUUUGAAAAACUUUCGGCAUAACUUAAAAUUCUUAAUACGGAGGAAAGUUAUAACGAUAAGAUUAUUUUUCUAAUAAAACACCAAAUUAUCCAAAAUUUUAACAUCGUUUCAAAAUUCAAGAUGCUUAUAAUAGUUCAUUUAAUUUCCCUCUGAUUAUCUUAAAUACAGAUAUGUUUUGAAAGAAAAUAGCAACAUAGGCGGCAAUUCAUUAAAAAAGUAAUGGGAUGCAUAUUAAAAAUAGACCAAUUUUCUUAAAAAUCAUAAAAUCAAUGAAAUCGCUAUAUUUUUUUCUUUUGUCAUAAUUUCAAGUUUAGUCAAACGUUUUUCAGAGCUCAUUAUAUAAGUCAUAAAUGAACAAAAUUUCAUUGCAUUCGGUUUUUUGAAUUCGGAGAUAUAACAGCUCAAAGUUGGCUAUCGGAUAAUUCUAUCUUUUUCUAAAAUGAUUAUAACUUCGUGCAGAAUAGCCCGAUCUUUUCCAAAUUCUGUCCACUGAUACACAGCUAGUUUAAUAACUUACAGUCAAAAUUUGAGAAUAUUUGAUGCACUUUCCGAAAAGUUACAGCUAAUUGGACAUUUUUUUGAAAAGUGACAAUUUGGCCUGUCCCGAUAAUUUUGUCUAUCUUCUGAUAUAUAAAUGAAUUUCUAUCUGUCUGUCUGUCUGUCUGUCUGUCUGACCCUUAUGGAUUCGGAAACUACUGAACCGAUCGCCGUCAAAUUUUGUAUGCAGAGGGUUUUGGGACUGGGGCAGGUUCUUAGCAUGGUGUGAGACCUCUCAGGUCUCUGGAACGGGGGGCUCGCAUACAGAUAACUUCGCGGAGGACGUCAAAAAACACAGUAUGCAGGCAGUACGACGUUUGCCGCGACAGCUAGUCUAUCUAUAUAUAUAUAAAAAUGAAUUUCUGUCUGACCGCUAUGCAUUCGGAUACUACUGAACCGAUCGGUGUGAAAUUUUGUAUGUGGGACCGGGGAAGGUUCUUAGCACUUCUAAGCUUGGUGUGAGACCUCUGGAACGGGGGGCUCCCAUACAAAUGAAACAGAAAUGAGCUGAGAGAAAGGCUCAAAACUCAAAACUCAAGUAACAAAACCAAUCUAGCGUGCAAUCAAAUUUGAAUUGCCAAUUGAGUGUUUGCCUAAAAAGACAAGGUGGGGCAAACACGGCAGUGGCUGUCCAGGUGGGCCCCAAUAGCCGCAGAGAAAAGGCCGGGGGUUUCCGACCCACGGGGUGUGACAACGGCUUCGUGGGUGAACAACGGCGGAAGACAACGGCGAGACGACAACGGUGAUAGCUGGCAAGGUUGGUGUCGAUAGCCACCGAGAAAAGGCUGUGGUUUCUAACUCCCGUGGUGUGUCGAUUUCGCCCCGAGAAAACAGGCCCGGGAGGACCGGGGGCUGGGUAACUGGCUUGAGAGGGCUACCACCAACCGGCAGGUUUCUAAGGAAACGAUUUCCUAGGAAUGAGUGAAACAUUCAUUGGGGAAUCCAUAACUUCUCAAAUGAAGACUUAUGGGUGAUACGCAGAACGCAAUAAAUUCCUUGGCCUAUCUCGAUGCGUGGGAAAUUCAGGCAAGGAAACGCUCAAGAAAUAAUAAAGCGUUGCUUUAUUCCUGAUCCUAGUACGGAGCUGAAACGAAACGUCAAAUCAAAUGGGGCUUGCUGUGUUAAAUUUCUUGACCAUUCCGGUCACGGAAAAAUAAUGCACUGAACGAAAAUUACUGGAGCGAUUCCGUUUGAAGUGAAUACCUCGCAUUAUGAAAGACUUUAUGUAGUAACAUCUGAAUCUAAAUUGGGAUUUUGUAACUUGUUUCAAAAUACUUUUAAGGCAGAGAAUUUCUCUCAAAUCUUUAAGCUGUCAGUGUCAUUUUAACUCAAAAUUUUCCAAUCUUUCCGAAAAAAAUACUUUUGAAACUGGAGAAACACGGAGUACAUCCGGAAAGGGCUAAAACUUAUUAAGUUAUCAAAAAAAUCAAUAUUAAAUUAGUAAUAUCUUCUAAACGGUGCAUCUUAGAAAAAUGUACUUAGAAAAAUGUACCGAAGUACUUUUUGCUUGCAAAUUUGAUGUUCUUUCAUAAAAUUAGGGCGACAAACUUUUUUGACUUUUCUUAAUAGCUUUUUUUGAAAACCGUAAUUUUUUAAAACAUUUUUUUUAAUUGUAACCUAUUUUUCUCCAGAACAACCCACUGUGCACUAGAUAGCAUUUUCAGUCAGCUAUAACAUAAGGAUAAUAAAAAAAUAUUGACAUGUCACUUUUGAGGGAAAAUCUAUAUUUUAGUUCAAAUCACAAAAACCAAACAUUUUUUUUACCGUGCAUAUGUUCUCCAUGCAUAUAUGCAUAUAGAACCAACAAAACGUCGAAAGACAAAACGUCGAAUGCCAAAACGUCGAAUGCCAAAUGGUCGAAUGCCAAAACGUCGAAAGGGACAAAACGUCGAAAACGAGUAAUCUAAGCAAAUAGUGAGUUCUUUAUUCUUUUAAGGGAUUCUCAUUCUUUCACUUGUAUCUGCCAACUAGUUCAGAGGGGAGCCUUCCUGAGGCUCCCUGAAACAACACGUCAGGGUGGGCAUGUUUCUUGGCCAGUUCUUCGCGGGUAGGGAAUAUUCGCACUGUCGUAUAUAAAAACUCACAUCACGUCAUGUUAAGUGUAACAUUAUUUACUCCCGCAAUCUCCCGGCCUUUUCUUCUCUUACUUCUUUGGAGCCCCUUCUACUGGCACCCAGUGUUCCAAUUGAACUAAACGCGAGCCAAAAAUGAACUCAGCUUGGAUGUGUCAUCAAAUCUUAUGUGCAUCCUGACCAAGGUGCUGCCCUAGGACGCAUCUGCAUACAUGCGUUGUUGCGCGAAAAUAUGCGCCACAAUGAAGUGGGAUAUUUUGGCAUCGAGCAUUAAGCUUUUGCAGCAAAAUCCGGAUUUUCCGGUAAUCCGUGACCAAACCGGUUCCCCUCUCAAUUGAGGGUGAGUUUCUGAAUCGAAUUAGCCCAAGAUUGCUAGAGAAUUAGUGAAAAAAUGGUAGAAACAUGACCAUUUCAGUUUAUCAGGUACCAGGGUACCAUGUUGGCAUUCUGCGGGUGCAGCUCUUGUUAAAGUUGCGUUCACUUUCGAGCUCUCGUGCGUUCCAAAUUGUGAACUGAACAAUGUUCAAAUAUUUUUGAUCGCAGCGUGCCGUUUUCGAACUUCAACGCAAAUUGAUCGCGUUCAAAUGCAUCACUGCGAGUGGCACCUUCCACAAAUUUUUAGCAUUACGCCAUAGCUUCGUUCAGAGUGGCUACGAUGGCGGCCUCUAGCUAUCGUCGCCGGAUCUCUGGCACCUUUAGGGUGGCGAUGUCGAUCACCGGGCGCAUUGUUCCUUCAAGGGCGUCUGAUGUUGAUACGGCUGUCCUUUGCCGCAAUUCAUCCGGUAUUCCAGAAUAUGGUACUUGCACAACAAUGCCAAGUAUCCACACAAUAAUCUUUACACAGCUGGUGGUUUCAACUCGGGUCUGAAUUAUCAUAGAGUGCAAAAUGAGUCACUGACCUUCAGCGCUUGGGCAGUGACCCGAGAUAAUGAGACAUAAUGAGUGUGUCCCCGUUAAUUAGUUCGUCAUCCUGCCAUCUUGGUGGAUCUACCGUAUCGCCACCCCUCUCAGGCUAUCAACAGAAUUAAAUCGAUCUCCACAAAAUCUCAAAAAAAAAAAGAAAUCCACGCUGAACUGCGAACAGUUACACACUUUUCGACGUUUUGUCCUUUCGACGUUUUGUCCCUUCGACGAUUUGUCCUUUCGACGUUUUGGCAUUCGACGUUUUGGCAUUCGACGUUUUGUCUUUCGACGUUUUGUCACCCAUUCGGUUGAACACGCCGACGAGACGCCUCUGCGAAAAUUCCUCUAAGCUCUAAGGGUUGCUUCAGAAAUUGCUUCAGGGGUUUUUGGUCCACUAACAUCUUUCAGUCAUUUUGCAAGAAAUUCUUUCAAGACAUCUCCAGUAAUUCUGCCACGGUUUGCUUCAGAACUCCCUCUAGAAAUUUAUUGAGAGAUUUAUUCAGGAAAUUUUAUCCUCUCCAGGGAAUUCUUUGAAAGUUCUUUCAGGGAACCCUUGAAUAUUUUCUCCAGUAUUCUUUAUGUAAUUUCAUUAAAAGAAUUUCUAGAGGCAUCUCCGAAGGAACCCCAGGAGAUAUUUCUGAAGGAACCACAAAAAAAAUCCAAAAAGAAACCUUCUAGAGAUUUUAUUCCGUAAGCCCUGGCGAAAUUUUCAUCGGUUUCUUGAAGGAACCCUUGGAAGAAUUUCCAAAAGAAACUCAGUUAAAACAAAUAGUCUGUAUAGAUGAAUUUCUGAGAACAAAAAUCCAUGGAUUUUUUGUGAAGAAAUCUCUUGCUGUCAUUCAUGAAAUAUUUCUUAAACUACUGAAAGAGUCUCAGGAGAUAUUUCUGAGAAGAUUCCUGAAGCAGUUCUAGUUUCUAAUUUCUAAGGCAAUUCUUUGGAGAUAUUUUUGUUUGAUCCUUGGAGGAACAUCUGAAAGAAUCUCAGGAAAACUCCUGAACAGAGUAUAUGUACGCACAAAUUUCAAUAUGAGAUUGAGAUAAGUUGGCUGUGAGUACAUACAAAUUCCCUGAGCUUGAGACUCGCGAUGUUGGUGCACAUCACAUUAGCAUUGCGAGUCUCAAUGAGACAUCUCAAUGAGACAAGCUCCAGGUACAACUUGGUAUAGCCCCAAUAUCGCACCGGUUUGAUGCACUCUCGAACCCUUCACAAGGAUGACACUUCCAGAUGAUGUUUAGCUGGGAUUGGGUUGACUUUCCGGGGGUGGAAUACAGUCGGAGAUUAUUUUAUAUCUGGAAUGAUGGUAAGAGGAACAAUCCAGGCAAAGGCGUCUUCCCCCACCACCGCCCCCAGCGGGGUCGAAAAAUAAAUGUUAUAAAAAAAAGAUGUAAAUGAUUGUUAUGGUCAAUAAUAUGACCCACAUAGGCAUGUUAAACGUGUAGUGUGAAGAUGGGAAGCUUUGAUGGGGGAUGUAGGUUUCUAAUAAAUUCAAUAUAAUUUGAUAACUUGGCCCCAUUAUAUCCACUUAUCCGCGAGCCGUAAUGGUCGUGCUGCGUACAAGCGAGCGGUUACGAUUUUGACGUUUGAUGCGGAUAGCAGCUGAUUGGCUUCACCGAACAGUUGACGAAGGGGUGAGGAGGAGAACCGAACCGCUUCGAUUUUUCCCAAAGAAACGUAAAAAUUCGAAUCGCUUGUACCCAACGCCGCCAUUACCAAACACGCGAAUAAACGGAGUCAAUCCCCGGAUAAUUAUUUAUUGAUCUGGGUAUUUCUGCCUCAAUUCUGGGAAGGGAUCAUGUUCACAUGAGACGAGUCUCACGAGACGUCUCAUUGAGACACAUACACUAGAAUUUUCAUGAGCAUGCUAUGAUCUCAAAUCUCACAAAUUUUCCUGAAACGCAUUUCAAACCAGCGCAUGGCACACUGUCUCAUUCAGGUAUACAUGAGCUUUCAGACACUCUGAUCCUGAAGGACUUUUAGAAGAAGUUGUUGAAUAAAAUCCUGAGAGAAUGCAAGAAGUCCUGGAGAAAUCCCAGAGAAUUUCAUGAGCGCUUCAGAUUGUUUUAACAAUUCCGAGUAAAAAAUCCUAAAGGUAUACCUGGGGAAAUACUUGGUGGAAUACCUGGACCAACUUCUGAAGGAAUCUUUGUAUGAAUUUCUGCAAAAAUCUUUAGAGUGAAAUACCUGCCAGGGCAAGUGCCCCUUCUUUUAUCUUUCUUUUUUUUUCUUUCUAGUAUUCAUUUACGAAAGUGAGUGAGAAAAAAUAAAAAGCAGUGCACGGUAGAGUGGAUUUACUGAAAAAAUCGUGAAUGAACAUCCAGGCAUUCCGGAGACAUAACUUCGGCAAUUUUCAAUAAAAUCUUUGGAAAAAUCCUAUGAUGAAAUAUCUGGAAGAGUUCAUAAACAAAUAUAUGUACGUAUUACUGAAGGAAUCCUUGGAAUUUUUUUUUGAAGUAAUCGCUGGAAGUAUUUCUGUAACCCCUAGUCUUCAGAUGUAUCGAAGACAUACCAGGAUUUUUUUAAGGAACCCCUGGCGAGUUUUCUAUAAAAAGAAUCCUAUAAAUAUUCUAAACAUACUAGAGAAAAUUCAAAUAUACUAUAUUAACAAUAUCACUUCAUGUUUUUACAUACAACGACAUGGAGACACCACACUGAAGGAAAACUUCAUCCUUCAAACGAAUGCAACAUCAUUCCCAACAAUCCGAAAUAGGAUUCACCCGUAUUCGAAUGAUUGCUGCAACUGAAUGACAAGUCACGACGAAAUCGAAUGAUUACGAAUUGAAUGCCAUCUCUCAAUCACGACGCUUCCCGGAUGAACCAUCAUUCGGAAAACAAGUGAGAACAAAUCGAACGUGACGUGAAUCCGUUUCGAACUGAAUGAUGAUUGCAUCAUGCGUGCCCCACACGCUAAGGUCAGUUUACCCAUAAAUAGGUAGUUAAUUUACGCAUAUUUGGGUUUUGCAUGCAUAACCCAUAUUAUGGGUAAAAUAUACCAAGAAAAAUCGGCAAAGUUUACUCAUAUUAUAAGUAAAGUCGCUUAACUUAAAUAUGGGUAAAGGCACUUUACCCAUAUUUGGAUGAAAAAUUGAAAACAUUGACAAAAAAAAAAUCAAGCAUCAAAAAGCGACGAAGUUUUAAAUUUGAAGUUUGGUUUGCUCUUGGAGAUAGCAAAAAGAAAUCCUCGAAGGAAGGUAAAAGAUAUCGGCCCACGCUAUGUCUGAACCAGCAGAUUAUAAAAAUUGCAUGUACAUCGGGUUUCUUUCCAUAAAACAUCAGUAUUCAAGCUAUAUUUUCAUUUGCAGAAGGUUUUAAAAUAUUCUAUCGGGGAAAUUUUGAUUUUCCCAUCUUUUUGACCGUUUUUCAUACAAAUUUGCUUGAAAUCCUCAUUUUCGGUCAAUUUCUCUCCCAUACAAAAUGUAUGGAAAAAUUUUCCCCGAUAGAAUAUUUUAAAACCUUCUGCAAAUGAAAAUAUAGCUUGAAUACUGAUGUUUUAUGGAAAGAAACCCGAUGUACAUUCAAUUUUUAUAAUCUGCUGGUUCAGACAUAGCGUGAUCGGGUAAGUUAAAAGAUUUCUUUGAGAACUAAAGGAUUAAUUUAUUUUAUUCUAUUAAAGGACACAUAUACCUAAAUGACGGUCUGCAGAGCAGAAACAUUCUGUAAGCGGAGCUAUUCCCGGUGUUCCUGCUACCAAACCCAACAAGAUGGCCGUGCAGCGAGACAUCAUUGGCUCCGGAUACCAAUACCGUGGAAUUUCAUGCGAUCAACCGGAGCAUUAUAAAUAGACAACUGACGAUACAUUGGGACUGGUCAAAACGCGUAGAACCGGACAACCAAUCUUUUUUGGCAAUGGCACCAUCUUCAGGACAGUGGAACACUCAUCUAGAUUGCUUGCUGUAGGCGGUGAACUUGCUUUGAAGUCUGCAAGAAACACAGUGUGAAAGUUCACCGGUUCCCCGGAAAGCUUUCAAAGUCUGGAAUAUUGGUGAGUUAACGCAACACGGCAUUAUUGGCGCAAGUACGACACUAAUCGUAAUUAUAUUUCAGUCGAUCUGCUGCCUCCUAGUGAUCUCCGAUGCAACACCCUGAAAGUAUGCUCUCUCUGGAAGGCGAUUACCCAGUAUGAUUACUGCCGGGUGAUUACAGAGCAGUGAUUGCUGCCAGGAUAAUAUAGCCAACGUUCCAGCUCUUUCGGCCACAAAUAAGCAAUUUCUUGCAUUGCCAAAUAAACUGAAGGGAACAGCAUAUUGCUUAUCCAGAGAAAUCUUCCAACCUGGCGGAGUGAAGAAGACAAAGAAGACCUGUUCCGCAAACGUCAAACUGCUGCGCACUUCAAAAAGUAUGCACACAACCUUGAAACAAAAAUAAAUAGUUGAAAAUCUAAUCUAAAUUAUGUUUAAUGGCGUACAGCUGCAUACUAAAGUGCUAAAACUACACCUAAUAUAGUUUAGAAAUAAGUUACAUGUUGUGGCAGCAAUUGCCAUUACAUAAACCAUAAAUGAAACAAUUUUCAUUAUUUUUGAAUUUUAUGGCAACCAAGUGAGUGAGAGCUUUUUAGCGUGAACCGAGCACGUUGACGUUUGCGGAACGACUGCGGCGGUCGAAACCACCGCAACCCCGUUGGAUUUUUUCUAUUUUACCGCAAUAACUCCCACCCAGAUCCUCACCGAGAUGAUUAAAAUACAGCGAAGGCGCCGCAUGAGAUCGCUUUUUAUACGAUAUGUAAAUUCGAUGUAAAUACUUCUUACUUUUGUUGAAAUAAAUAAAAUUGAAUGAUAUCGAUUAUUCAUAUUUUUCAUUGGAUAUAAAUAGUUGUUUCUGAAAAUUAAAAAUAUUAUGCCUCUCAAGAAAAAUCAGAAUAUGGCGAUUAUCUUCCUCUGGCUUCUGAUAUCAGCGCGACAGUCACUAAUCAUAACAGCGUCACCAGAUUUAAAAGUAUGUAAUUCCACUAUAUGGGGUUUGACAGCAAGAACACUCAUUCCACUGAACUACUCUUGCCGUUCGUCACAAAUACAUUCUAAAACAUCUAUCACUUCGCGAAACCCACGUGCUUUUGUUUUUGGCGGGAACACUUUUUCUUUUGUUUUGCCUUGCGACUGUCAUGCGGCGGUAUGCCUUGCGAGCGUACGACCGCCGCAGAACUCUAAUAAAAGAUAAGCGCGACAAUAGAACAUUUACUCAAAUAUGGGUAACAUUUACCCAAAUUGAAAAACGCAUAUGUGAGUAAAAUUCACCUAUAUUAUUCUCAGACGCAUCAUACCCAAAUAUGGGUAAUGUGGCUUUACCCAUAAAAUGAGGUUGUGCACUUUUCGCCGAUUAUGAGUAAACUUUACUCAUAUUUAGGUAAACUGACCUUAGCGUGCACAACGCAUAUCAGUCAGUUCACAUAAGCAUCUCCCGUUGGUAAUCGGAUGUUGUUACACACACCCCGCGUGCGCGGAUCAAGCUUGUUGCUGAUCGAGUUUCGGCAGCCAUUGUUAGUAAUGCAGCACCAGAACCGCUCCAGGAGUUUUCAAUUUUCAACCGAUUUCCGCACUCCAAACAAAACGAAAAAAAAAAACAGGCGAGAGUAGAGGCAAAUAUUUCAUAAUGGCGAAAACAAAACACUGAUUUUUUUCGGAAUAAAAUUUUUCAAUAUAAUCUAAAUAAAAUGUGUGGGAUUAUGCUUGAAUCACAUGCUGACUUGCUUUUAGCAUGAUAAAACGGUGUCAGAAUCAAUUUUGCGAACGAAAAUAGAUAUUUUCUUGGUUGGCCGUUACGUCCUUCUAAUGGUACUAAAAUUGAAUAGAGGGUAGGCGCAAUUUGUUCCCAGUUGACAGCCAGCUUACUCCCCUGGUUUGGAUGUGUGGAGACUGUUACCGCGCUUUCGCAAAUGGAAAGAACGAUCGUGUGUAGCCGAAACACCAAAGUGCACCGAAGCUGUAUCCGAUGAUACAUCUAUAUUGCAGACUACAUCUCAAAUUGGACUACCGUAUUACCCCGCUAAUACGACACCGACUGUUGUCGAAUAACCGGGGUAAACUUUUAAUUCGACAAACUGGUCAGCCUACACCAAAAUGCUCAUUAAAUUUUGGCAACUCUAUUUUUGUUUUUGUUUUGAUUUCCGGAUUUGUUAUGAAACAUAAUUUCAACAGAUAUUGCGGUGGUGCGUAUGAAAAGCUCGUUCUUUCUACGAUUGCUGCCAUCCUCAGUUCAUUCCGGUUGGUCUCCAGGGGUUUUGGGUGUCGAAUAGCACCAACUCAGAACUUCCGGAAUUAGCUGCUGCAAGAGGUGCUGCUGCGGGUGCGAGUAUAAGUGCAAUAUCAAACUGUUUUGCAUUUACAGUGUACAUCGAUGUGACAUUCGAACACUUUUUAAUUCGACAUGUGUCGAAUAAGCGGGGUACGAAUUAAAAAGUGUCGCAUUAAAACGUGUCGAACCAACGGGGUAAGACGGUAUCACACUUUUUUUGGUACGCCUAAAAAGUGUGAUAAAAGUGCACAUUUGCAUCGGAUCGUCUCGACGUCUUCGGUGCACUUAUUCCUCCAUUUACAAGGAAUAAGUGCACCGAAGACUUCAACUCGAUCCGACGUGUCCUUGCGCUGCAAUCACACUUUGAAGGUGUGUGCACACUAUUGUGUCAGUCCAAUUUGGGGUGCAGUCAGCAAUACCUACAUGACGAAAUUGCUGAGCUGAAAAUGCAAGUCGCCGAAAUAUUGCAAACUAUGGCAUCAUCCUCGUCAACGGUUGAUGUAUCUAUUAAUACGACACUUCAUCACCCUGCACCAUUUUUGUCCUCGGCGCUUAUCAAUGGAACGAACAUAAGUUACGAAAGUUCAAGUUUAUGGUCUGAGCAGAUCAGUGUGCAUUGACCAUAUUGCUAUAGAAGUGUAAACAACGCUAUAUCUCUACAUAAUAGUGAUCAGCGAGUGUCUCUGUUCUUAACAAAUAUUGACAGUAUGGUAUCCGAAGCAGAAGUAAAAAUGAUGGUAUGUGAAUGCGUUGGUGCCCCAGUAGAUGAUUGUUAUAAGACAGCAAAAUUAGUUUCCAAAGAUGUUGAUGGUAGAACGAUUGACUGCGUAUCAUUCAUGGUAGAUUUGAAUGUUAAGUGGAAAGAAAAAGCCUUAGAUGCAGCAACAUGGCCAUGCGGUAUAAAAUUUCACCAAUUUGUGAAUAGGACUUGGAAACCAUCUUAAAACCGUAAAAUCUUCCGCAUUUCUGUUUUCCUUAAGUAAUGUAAACUCGUUUUUCGUUUGUAAGCUGUCGAUUGAACAUGUUCUUAUGUUCACGCAAAGAAUUCCAAUGAUUUUCUUUAUAUGUUGCGACACAUACUCUUGUGGAAUAGUUCAUUCAGUACACUAUUAGGAUGACAUAUACCCUUAAUAUAACCCACACAUAAUAUUGAAAUGUUGUUCCAUUUUGAAUUAUGUUUAAAAUCUAAUAGUUGAAAUCUAUAACAGUUCACACAUAAAUUUAUUGUGUGAGCAACUGGGAUGAAUUUCUGUUGAGAAUGAACUUUGUUUUGAUUUUAUCAGACAAAAGAUCAAACGAACUGAAAACGUGGCGCGGUAUUCAAAGCAAAGUUUUAUGUCUUCAGAGAAUGACAAAGCUGAAAGCGGAUGGACAUAGGCGAAAGCUCCACUGCAAACUGUGUAACGGCUGUACAGCACAAUUGAUCCUGUAUUCGGUUGGAACCGCCACCACGCAUAUAGCUCUUCGGAUUUGCAGAAUCUUAACCUGAAUCUUAGAGAAUUUCACUGUAACACCAUUGAAUCCGAGAUCAAAACUAUAGCGAGCAGGUGUGAAAUCAUCCAGGUGGCUCCUCGCAGCUAAUCGAUACGGCGGAAGUCACCGAACGCAGUACAGUAGUGAUGCGGACAAAUCGGACAAAAACGCUCUCCACAGCGCAGUGGAGGCAGUGCGCUGUGGAUAUUUACCACCAUGUUUUUCAUUGAUGUAUUCUAUGUGAUUGAUAAUAUGUAUCAAGCCAGAAAUGAAUAAAUUUUGAAAAAUACAACAAUUUUUGAUUACAUGAAAUACGAAACAAUAAAUAAUUAGAAAACAUUAAAUCAAACAAAUAAAUCGUAACGGACCCACAAUAUGAGAUGUAUAAUCGUGGAUAUAUGAUAUUCAAAAGAGCCACACAUAUUUUCAAUAACCCAAGAGUUCAUCCUCAUGUAUGUGUCUAGCAUAUAUGGUAUAUUUGUGAAAUCUAAUUGUAAAAAUCUAUAUAGGCUGACACAUAACAUCUAAAUGGAAUUUUUUCUCAGUGUUGAUUAUGUUUGUAUGUAUUGUAUAAAGCAAAGCGUUUUUUCUUACUUUUAAGUCAUUCAAUUAGACCAAUAUGUGGUCCGUUAUUAAUCAUAAAUAAAUAAAUAAAUCCAGGCUCGUUAGUUGGAGGUAUGUCCAAAAUAUGUGCAGCAUAAUCAGACGGGGACAUAUUUUGUCCCACCUGUCAAAUUCAACUCUACAGUUCCUUCUAAUGCGAGGGAUGCUCUUCAAACGAAAUCGCUCAAGUAAUUUUCGUUCAGUGCAUUUUUUCCGUGACCGGAAUGGUCAAGAAAUUUAACACAGCAAGUCCCAUUUGAUUUGACGUUUCGUUUCAGCUCUAUAAUAGGAUCCCGAAUAAAGGGACGCUUUAUUAUUUCUUGAGCGUUUCCUUGCCUGAAUUUUCCACGCAUCGAGAUCAGGGGAGUAAGCUGGCUGUCAACUGGUUUUCUCCCCAGCCCAUAAAAAAACAGUACUUUCAAUUUUGUUACUUUUUUAGAAUUUUUUUAUGUCUAUAUUAACGAGAUUUUAAAUUUAAACCCUAGGCUAGUUCAUCUCGGGACCCACGCUUUACUUCCCUUCCGAAGGAAGAACCUACAUUUUGUGAGUAUGUCGGGAGUGGUCCUCGGCGUGAUAGUCUUGUGUUCUAAUCACCACACCAGGUCCGCUUCAUUUUUUUAGAUGAUUUUCGCAACUUUUUUGCUUAUAAACACGGUCACAAUGAAUACGAAUCGAUUCGUUCAAGAGUCAUGCUGAUUGGUUCAUCCGUUCAUGAGUUUUGUGGCUUCAAAGGGACAUGACUCAACAAAACAAAACUCAUUUUUAUAUAAACGGGGUGUUUGUUUCCGGAGUGCAGAUAUUUUUAGGGUGAAUAGGUCUCCAUGAGUUAUGAAAAAGUGCCCAAGGAACAUGGGGUCGGAAAUCACUGCUAAGUGAGUUAAUCACAUUUUAAGUUUUUUAAUUUAGCUCAUCUUUGAAACCCUCUAUCUACUAAACUAUCAGUCGUACCAUCAAUGUCAACGCUCGAAUUGAAAGCUAAUGACUUCUACUAUCUUAGCCUCUUGGACGUGAAUUUUGUAAAAUUAGUCUAAAAGGCUUUAAUUUUCAAAACAUUGCAAAACAUGUCGAAAAAAACAGCCCUUUUUCAGACAUUUUUGAUGAUUUUAAGGCUCAAGCAUUCGUCAUCAUAUUUCGAAAAAUAAAAAAGCAGUUUUCUCGCUGCAAAUCAAAACAAGGAUCAUGAAAAUAUAUUCACUGCAUUAUAUUCCUCAUGUGGAGUACAGUGAAUAUAUUUUCAUAGCAAAAACUUUUGUUUUGAACGAAAAAACUGCUUUCAAAUGUUUGAUGAUGACGAUGAUUGCAAUGACGAAAAGUUCAACGUUAAUAUGAAAACAAAACUUCUGUUAAAAAAGUUCUUCUACAAAACACGCACGAACUUGUUCUCUAAAAAUGUUUCUUUGACAGCAAAACUCUAUCUUUUGUAGAUUAGCUAGAAAAUGAUUUUGAAAAUAUCGCUCCAAAUUGCAUCAACACCAUGCCAAAAUAAUGGCCAUCACCCCAUCCGUUCGUGCGUUCGUGUGAUGUUGCUCUACGGUAUGAGGACGACGGCAGCUGCUGGUGCUGCCGUCGCGAACAGAGAACGAGUUCGCUCUUUGUCGCGUUGUAUCCCCGCCUGAGGAAGAUUUCGAGGCGGAGUGUGGCUUCUGUGCCAUAUUCAGUUUGACGCGCACUAUACACUUGUUUUAGACGGAGCGAAAGCGCUGACAAAAGUGUAUUUACAAGAGCAUCCCUUUAAAUCCUUCGCACUCGUAGCUCUGCUGCGGUGCUGUUCAGAUGGGGAGGUCUAUGCGUGCGGGAAUUUAGAGCAUGCACUAGACACUAGAGAAUGCACUUAUUAAAUGCAUUUUCAAAUGUACUAAAUGUAUUAUGUGUAGCGUUAUUCUUCUUCUUAUUACUGGUAUAACAUCCCUGUAGGGGUUGAGAGAGAUACUGAGAAAAUGAUACGUAGGGCAUAUAGCAUCAGCAGCCGUGAUGCACCAUCAAGAAAACAAAGCAAGCGAUCAGCAUCAAAUGAAACGUUAGUCUUGCAAAGUAUUUCGCACGAGUAGGUUGCAUCAUUGCAUCCUUCCUCGUCUGAGCAGAGUUCCGGCCGGCGGCAUGGCCCGGAAUGCCACAGUGUCCGUCCGGACACGACAAUGGCACAGCCGGUAGGUAAGCUCCCAGCAAAUAAACUGUAUAAAUAAGUGGUUUUCCCAAGGGUGUUCCAUUAAUGUGUGGCAGCAGACGGAUACCAGAAGAAUUUCUUCGAUUUUCUUCUCGUCGCAAAACGAAUCUCGCGCGACAUGGUUAGGAGAAGGUUAGCUUUGUAGUUUCAUUUGUUGGUUGGAGGAGGAGUGCAGAGAGUAGUGGAACGUUGAGUUUGGGUUGUGAUUGUGAUUUUGUUUAUGUUUUUGCAACAAGAGGCAAUGUUAUGAUGACGUAUUUUUAUUGGAGAAAAAUUAGGCAGUCGCUGUUGUUCUUCUGGCAGGAUUGGUUGUUCCAGGUUGCUUUUCUGAACGGGAUACGGGAAAUGUUUUGUGGACUUUAUUUUGAUAGCAGAGGCAAAAAAAAGGUAGUUUCCUAUUAUGUAUUGGUUUUGAUUGUUGGGUUUGACUAGAUUUUUCCAAUAUUUAUCAAGCAGUUUGAGUUGUCGCUAGCGACUGUGGUUUUAAUUUUGUCUCGUUCAGGGUUUUUGGACCUUGCUGAGAGGCCCGCUGAACUGUUAAGAUAUUUGCUUGGAUAUUUGCUCAAUCAAAAGUAAUAAGUAAUGGUGAGAUAUUGUUUGUCUCGGGGAUAGAUUGUAUAGAUUGCAUUGGGUGGAGUCGUAAAUAAUGUAGGGGUUGUAGGAAUGUAGGAAUGUGUAGGGAUUGAGAGGAAUACCGAGCAAAGGAUAAACAGGGCAUAUAGCAUUAGCAGCAAAGAUGCGCUACCAGAUAAACAAAGCAAUCGAAACAAACGAUCAAGAUGAAAUGAAACUUCAGUCUUGUAAAGUAUUUCGUACGAGUAGGUUGCGUCAUUCGCUAUCUUCCUCGUAGGUGCAGAGUUUCGGUCGGCGGAAUUGGCUGGACCGGAAUGCCACGGUGUCCGUCCGAACACGACAAUGGCACAGCCGGUAGGUAAGCUCCCAGCAAGUAAAGUAAAUUAAUUAAGGGAUUCGUGUGUUUCCUCCCAUCGCGGCGGUGUUUGGCAGCGGUUUGAUGCAGGAUGGUGCAGCAUUUUUCAUCUCAUCGGUGGGGCUCGCGUGGCUGGAUUCUGUGUUGCGACAGUGUUGGUGUAGUAUUUUAGUUAGUUGGCUGGAACAGCGGUGGAACUUCGAGGCUGUAGGUUUGUUUUAUUGUGUUGUUUUUUUACGCAUCAUUGUUUUGAAGGCAUGCAGAGGCGGUGGCAAGCGGAUAACAGGCAAGGUCUUCUUUUCUUGGUGUGCAUCGCAGCUGUGAAUGGAGAACACGAUUUGACCUUCGUCGUUAUUUUAUGCGUGGAGUUCUUGUGUGGCUUUCGGCUUUGGAUAAGCUCUGAGCGGCCGUUACAGCUGUUAUUGUUCUUGACACGGCGUAUACCGGGGAAGCUAGGUUGAAGUAUGAAUCCUAACGAUCCUGCGAACGCAAACCCGAAACAGUAUCAAUAACCUUUGCAUUGUAGUUGUUUUGCAAAGAACUUGUGUGCUUCUUUUCUGUGUUCCAGUAUCGAUUCCUGCAUUCAUGUCUGGUGGUUGAAAAUGUGUGUUUCCCUCUGCUAAAAUAAAUGUAAUUGGCUACUGUCCGGAUUCUAUAGGAGCUGAAACCAUAUAAUCUUACCCGAGAGGGUAGGCCGAUGGUGAAUUCCCCUGAGAGGGUAAGCCAUAAUAAAAAAAGCAAAUUCCCCCGAGAGGGUAAGCUGACGGAAAAUUCCCCCGAGAGGGUAAGCCGGUGGUGAAUUCCCCCGAGAGGGUAAGCCAUAAUAAAAAAAGCGAAUUCCCCCGAGAGGGUAAGCUGACGGCAAAUUCCCCCGAGAGGGUAAGCCGGUAGUGAAUUCCCCCGAGAGGGUAAGCCAUAAUAAAAAAAGCGAAUUCCCCCGAGAGGGUAAGCUGACGGCAAAUUCCCCCGAGAGGGUAAGCCGGUGGUGAAUUCCCCCGAGAGGGUAAGCCAUAAUAAAAAAAGCGAAUUCCCCCGAGAGGGUAAGCUGACGGCAAAUUCCCCCGAGAGGGUAAGCCGGUGGUGAAUUCCCCCGAGAGGGUAAGCCAUAAUAAAAAAAGCGAAUUCCCCCGAGAGGGUAAGCUGACGGCAAAUUCCCCCGAGAGGGUAAGCCGAUGGUGAAUUCCCCCGAGAGGGUAAGCCAUAAUAAAAAAAAAGCAAAUUCCCCCGAGAGGAGAAUAAGGACAAGAGAUGAUGCUGAUCAAAGAUACUGAUGAUGAAAGAUGAGCGAUGAGAGAAAAGAGAUGAGAGAUAAGAAAGAAAAAAUUAUAGAGGAUAAUAAUUAGAAUGACAUGACUGGUAAAGGUUGAAAAAAAAAAAUAAUGCAGUAAAAGUGGCAAAGAAGGUAAUUAAAAAUGAGGAUCAUAUUUAGAACGAAGGCAUCUAUAAGUUGUAGAUACAGUGAAAUGUAAACGAACUGAAAUGAGAAAUAAAUGAUGGGAGAUUAGAGAUGAUGAUAAGAAGAUAUGUGGAUGAUGAUGAUGAUGAUGAUGGUGAUGAGAGAUGAAAUAUGAGACAAGAUGAUGCUGAUGGGAUGAAAGAUGAGAAAUGAGAGAUUACAGAUGAAAGAUGAGAAAUAAAAGCUGAGAGAUGAAAGAUGAGCGAUGAGAGAUAAGAGGUGAGAGAUGAGAAAUUAAAGUUGAGAUAUGUGUGAUGAGAGAUGAGAGCUGAGAGAUUAAAGAUGAGGGACUAAAGAUGAGAGAUGGUAGAUGAGAGUUGAUGAUGAUACGAGAUAUUGAUGAUAAUGAUGAUGAUUAUGAUGAUUAUGAUGGUGGUGAUGACGAUAAGAGAUGAGAGACGAUGAUGACGGGAGAUGACAGAAGAGAGAUGAGUUCCGCAUUACUGUGCUAAAGGUUAAAAAAACAGAUGUGAAAAUGUCUUGGAAAAUGCAAUAAGUGACAAAGACGGGGGUUGGAAAUGAGGAUAACUAGUCCUAUACACAGCGACUGACAGCUGAUGGCCGCGACUAGCAAAGAAGAAGAAGAAAUGAUGAUGAUUACGAUGGUAGAUGGUAGAUGGUAGAUGAGAGAUAAUAGAUGGGAGAUUAGAGAUGAUGACAAGAAGAUAUGUUGAUGAUGCUGAUGAUGAUGAUGAUGAAGAUGAUGGCGAUGCGAGAAGAGAGGUGACAGAUGAGGAACGGAAGAUGAGAAAUGGUAAAUGAGAGAUGAGAGUUGUUGAUGAUGAUGAUGAUGAGAUGAAAAAAAUAAGAGAUGAGAAAUGAGAGAUUACAAAUGAAAGAUGAUAAAUAAGAGAUGAGAGAUGAAAUAUGAGGGAUGAAAUAUGAGAGAAGAAAGAUGGUAGAUGAGAGAUGAGAAAUGAAAGAUAAUAUUGGUGAGUGAUGAAAGAUGAGAGAUAAGCUAGGAGAUAAGAGACAAGAGUUGAGACAUGACAGAUUGCAGAUGAAAGAUGAGAAAUGAGUGAUCAGAGAUGGCAGAUAAGAGGUGAGCGAUGUGAUUGGUAUUACUGUGCUAAUGAUAAUUAUUGAUAAUGAUGAUAGAUGAGAAAUGAAGGAUGAGAAAUGAGAGAUGAGAGCUAUAAGAUGGGAGAUAAGAGAUGAUGAUGAUGAUGGUGGUGAUGAGAGAUGUGAGAUUAAAGGUGACAGAUGAUAGAUAAGUCAUGAGAGAUGAGAGAUUAUAAUGAUGAGAGAUGAAAUAUGAAGGACGAAAUAUAAGAGAUGAAAGAUGGUAGAUGAGAGAUGAGAAAUGAAGGAUGAUAUUGAUGAGAGAUGAAAGAUGCGAGAUAAGUUAAGAGAUGAUGCUGAUAAGAGAUGCUGAUGAUGAAAGACGAGAGAUGGUGAUGAGCAACGAGAGAGAAGAUAUGAGAGAUAAGAAAGAAGAGAUGAUAGGCAAUGAGAUAUGAGGGAUUGGCAUGACUGCGGUAAAGGUAAAAUAUAAGGUAGUAAAUUGACAAAGAAGGUGGUUGAAAAUAAGGAUUUUUGUGAUGGUGAUGAUUGAUAGUAUCGUUUUUAAAACGCAGGCACAGUGAAAUGUAAACGAACUUAAUAAUGUUGAUUGAAAUUGAGGUGAGAGGGAAGAGAUGAACAAUGAGAGAUGAAAGAAGAGGGACGAACGAUAAGAUAUGGUAGAUGAUAGAUGAGAAAUUUAUUUAUUUAUUUAUUAUUAAUUCUUUAUUAUGAGAGAUGAGAAAUGAAAUAAGAUAAUGAUGAGGGAUGAAAGACGAUGAUGAGAAGAUGAGAGUUGAUGACGAGAAAAAAGAAGAAAGAAGAGAUGAUAGACGAUAAUAAUGAGCGAUGAGCGAUUGGUAUAACUGUGGUAAUAAUUAAAAAAAAGGUUAUAAAACUGACAAAGAAGGUGGUUGUAAAUGAGGAUUAUUAUGAUGGUGAUGAUUGAUAAUAUCGUUUUUAGAACAAAGGGAAUUGUAAGUUGUACUACAAUAAAGUGAAAUGUAAACGAAGUGAACAUUGUUAAUUGAAAAAUUUAAGCUUUUAAAAUAAUGACAGAGUAGAACAGGGGGAGAAUGUAGGGAUUGAGAGGAAUACCGAGCAAAGGAUAAACAGGGCAUAUAGCAUUAGCAGCAAAGAUGCGCUACCAGAUAAACAAAGCAAUCGAAACAAACGAUCAAGAUGAAAUGAAACUUCAGUCUUGUAAAGUAUUUCGUACGAGUAGGUUGCGUCAUUCGCAAUCUUCCUCGUAGGUGCAGAGUUUCGGUCGGCGGAAUUGGCUGGACCGGAAUGCCACGGUGUCCAUCCGGACACGACUAUGGGAUUGUAGGAAUGUAGGGGACAAUCCCCAAUGGAACAGAGCCUAUUUCUCAGCUCAGCUGAUAAACAUGCAGCAAAAAUUUGCGGGAUUUCAAGGUUAAUAAUGCUCAAAAGAAAUCUGGGAAAUAAAUUAUUCAUUUUAGAAGAAGUUGGGCGCUGUCCAUAAACAACGUAGACUUUUUUUCGGUCGUCUCAGAACCCCCCCUCCCCCUCGUAGACUUUUGUUCAUACUAAAUUUUCGAAGUUUGUAUGGAGCGUAGACUUUUGCCAGACCCCCCUCCCCCCCCACGUCACCCCUUAGAGUCUACGUAGUUUAUGGACAGCCCCUUGUUGGUUUUUAGAGAACGUUGGGAAUUUUUAAGAGAUAUUGAGGAUGUUAAAGGAAACUUAGGAAUCAUGAGGGUCUUCAUGGGAAAUGAGGCUUUUGUGAAGUCUAAGCAUUAAGUUGGACAUUUGAGGAGAAGUAGGGGAUUUUUAGGGAACAUUGGGGAUUUUUAGGAGAUAUUGAGGAUGUUAAAGGAAACAUGGGAAUCAUGAGGGUCUUCAUGGGAAAUGAUGCUUUUGGGAAAUCUAAGCAUUAAAUUGGACAUUUGAGGAGAAGUCGGGUUUUUUAAGGAAACAUUGGGGAUUUUAAGAGAACGAUGAGGAUUUUUAGGAGAUAUUGAACAUGUUAAAGGAAACUUGGGAAUCAUGAGGGUCUUCAUGGGAAAUUACGCCUUUGUGAAACCUACGCAUUAAAUUGGAUAUUUUAGGAGAAGUCGGGGAUUUUUAGGGAACAUUGGGGAUUUUAAGAGAACGAUGAGGAUUUUUAGGAGAUAUUGAGGAUGUUAAAGGAAACUUAGGAAUCAUGACGGUCUUCAUGGGAAAUGAUGCUUUUGUGAAGUCUAAGCAUUAAGUUGGACAUUUGAGGAGAAGUCGGGGAUUUUUAGGGAACAUUGGGGAUUUUUAGGAGAUAUUGAGGAUGUUGAAGCAAACAUGGGAAUCAUGAGGGUCUUCAUUGGAAAUUACGCCUUUGUGAAACCUACGCAUUAAAUUGAAUAUUUUAGGAGAAGUCGGGGAUUUUUAGGGAACAUUGGGGAUUUUUUAGGAGAUAUUGAGGAUGUUAAAAGAAACAUAGGAAUCAUGAGGGUUUUCAUGAGAAAUUACGCCUUUGUGAAACCUACGCAUUAAAUUGGAUAUUUUAGGAGAAGUCGGGGAUUUUUAGGGAACAUUGGGGAUUUUAAAAGAACGAUGAGGAUUUUUAGGAGAUAUUGAGAAUGUUAAAGGAAACUUAAGAAUCAUGAGGGUCUUCAUGGGAAAUUACGCCUUUGUGAAGUCUAAGCACUAAGUUGGACAUUUUAGGAGAAGUCGGUGAUUUUUAGGGAACAUUGGGGAUUUUUAGGAGAUACUGAGGAUGUUAAAGGAAACAUGGGAAUCAUGAGGGUCUUCAUGGGAAAUGACGCCUUUGUGAAGUCUAGGCAUUAAGUUGGGCAUUUGAGGAGAAGUCGGGGUUUUUUAGGGAACAUUGAAGGUUUUUAGAGAACGAUGAGGAUUUUUAGGAGAUAUUGAGCAUGUUAAAGGAAACUUUGGAAUCAUGAGGGUCUUCAUGGGAAAUGAUGCUUUUGGGAAGUCUAAGCAUUAAGUUGGACAUUUGAGGAGAAGUCGGGGAUUUUUAGGGAACAUUGGGGAUUUUUAGGAGAUAUUGAGGAUGUUAAAGGAAACAUGGGAAUCAUAAGGGUCUUCAUGGGAAAUGAUGCUUUUGUGAAGUCUAAGCAUUAAGUUGGACAUUUGAGGAGAAGUCGGGGAUUUUUAGGGAACAUUGGGGAUUUUUAGGAGAUAUUGAGGAUGUUAAAGGAAACAUGGGAAUCAUGAGGGUCUUCAUGGGAAAUGACGCCUUUGUGAAGUCUAAGCAUUAAGUUGGACAUUUUAGGAGAAGUUGGGGAUUUUUAGGGAAUUUGGGGAUUUUUAGGUGAUAUUGAGGAUGUUAAAGGAAACUUAGGAAUCAUGAGGGUCUUCAUGGGAAAUUAUGCCUUUGUGAAGUCUAAGCAUUAAGUUGGACAUUUUAGGAGAAGUCGGGGAUUUUUAGGGAACAUUGGGGAUUUUUUAGGAGAUAUUGAGGAUGUUAAAGGAAACUUAGGAAUCGUGAGGGUCUUCAUGGGAAAUAACGCCUUAGUGAAGUCGAAGCAUUAAGUUGGACAUUUUAGGAGAAGUCGGGGAUUUUUAGGGAACAUUGGGGAUUUUUUAGGAGAUAUUGAGGAUGUUAAAGGAAACUUAGGAAUCAUGAGGGUCUUCAUGGGAAAUUACGCCUUAGUGAAGUCUAAGCAUUAAGGAUGUUAAAGGAAACUUAGGAAUCAUGAGGGUCUUCAUGGGAAAUUACGCCUUUGUGAAGUCUAAGCAUUAAGUUGGACAUUUUAGGAGAAGUCGGGGAUUUUUAGGGAACAUUGGGGAUUUUUAGGAGAUAUUGAGGAUGUUAAAGGAAACUUAGGAAUCAUGAGGGUCUUCAUGGGAAAUUACGCCUUAGUGAAGUCGAAGCAUUAAGCAUUCUUAGGGAACAUUGGGGAAUUUUAGAAGAUAUUGAGGAUGUUAAAGGAAACUUAGGAAUCAUGAGGGUCUUCAUGGGAAAUGAUGCUUUUGGAAAAUCUAAGCAUUAAAUUGGACAUUUUAGGAGAAGUCGGGGAUUUUUAGGGAACAUUGGGGAUUUUUAGAGAACCAUGAGGAUUUUUAGGAGAUAUUGAGGAUGUUAAAGGAAACUUAGGAAUCAUGAGGGUCUUCAUGGGAAAUUACGCCUUUGUGAAACCUACGCAUUAAAUUGGAUAUUUUAGGAGAAGUCAGGGAUUUUUAGGGAACAUUGGGGAUUUUCAGGAGAUAUUGAGGAUGUUAAAUGAAACAUGGGAAUCAUGAGGGUCUUCGUGGGAAAUAACGCCUUUGUGAAAUCUAAGCAUUUAAAUGGACAUUUUAGGAGAAGUUGGGGAUUUUUAGGAAACAUUGGGGAUUUUUUUUGGAAAGGUUUGGGAUAUUAAGGGAACGUUGAGGAUUUAUAGAAGAUAUUGAGGAUGUUGAAGGAAACUUAGGAAUCAUGAGGAACGUCAUGGGAAAUGAUGUCUUUGUGAAAUCCAAGCAUUACGUUGGAUAUUUUAAAAGAAGGUGUGGAUUUUUAGUAAACGUUGGGAGUUUUUAGAGAACGUUGGGGAUAAUUAGGAGAUAUUGAGGAUGUUUAAGGGAACUUAGGAAUCAUGAGGGUCUUCAUGGGAAAUGAUGCUUCUGGGAAAUCUAAGCUUCGAGUUGGAAAUUGUAAGAGAAGUUGGGGAUUUUUAGGGAACGUUGGGGAUUUUGUGAGAAUGUUGGGGAUUAUUUGGAAAGGUUUGGGAUUUUAGAGAACGUUGCGGAUUUAGGGAGAUAGUGGGAAGUAAAAGGCAAGUUAAAAAUCAUGAGGGUCUCCAUGGGAAAUUAUGCCUUUGUGAAGUCUUAGCAUUGAGUUGUACAUUUUAGGAGAAGUUGGGGAUUUUAAAAGAACGUUGGGGAUUUUUUGGAAAAGUUUGGGAUUUUAGAGAACGUUGGGGAUUUUAAGAGAUAUUGGGAGGUCAAAGCUUGCCUCAUGAGGGUCUUCAUGGGCAAUGAUGACUUUGUGCAAUUAAGUUGAACAUUUUAGGAAAAGUUAUGGAUUUUUAGAGAACGUUCUCUGAAAAUUCCUAACGUUCCCUAAAAAUCCCCAACUUCUUCUAAAAUGUCCAACUUAAUGUUUUGUUUUCCCAAGAGCAUCAUUUUCCAUGACGACCUUCAUGAUUUCUAAGUUUCUUUUAACAUCCUUAAUGUAUCCUUAAAAUCCUUAACGUUCUCUAAAAACUCCCAACGUUCCCUAAAAAUCUCCCA